rnacentral:rRNA from 1 species
AAAUUGAAGAGUUUGAUCAUGGCUCAGAUUGAACGCUGGCGGCAAGCCUAACACAUGCAAGUCGAACGGUAACAGGAAGCAGCUUGCUGCUUUGCUGACGAGUGGCGGACGGGUGAGUAAUGUCUGGGAAACUGCCUGAUGGAGGGGGAUAACUACUGGAAACGGUAGCUAAUACCGCAUAACGUCGCAAGACCAAAGAGGGGGACCUUAGGGCCUCUUGCCAUCGGAUGUGCCCAGAUGGGAUUAGCUAGUAGGUGGGGUAA